ensembl:lncRNA
CAAGUGAGCAAAAAAAAAAAAAAAAAAAAAAAUGAAAUCACAUGUAAUACUGAUUUGAGUUUUUAUUAAAUUUAAAUAAAAACAUAGAUUAAAUGAAAUUUUAAUUAUUCAAUUUGAAAAAAGUUGUACUUAGAUGACUUAAUCUAAUCUGUAUAUUAGCUUCAAGUUUCCCAUAAGAAAAAAAAAUAAUCCAUGUGUUGUCUGCUUUCGAAACAUGAGCUUUGACCUUUACAAAUCUUUUAUUGGAAUAGAGGCCAAUGUGAUUUCAGCAAAGCUUUAUGCCAUAAUCAGUCUUUAAUGAAAUCGUUUGCAAUUUGUUUGUAAAUUAAUUGUCAUUUUACACGUUUGUGCUUUGCUCUCGUUGCAUUUACAUCUUGACCAGCAGGUGUCGCCCGCGUGCAUAGUUUCGAGUGCUUCGAACGAGUGACUCAUUCGCGAAGCAGCUGAUUCGGAGUUUCGAAACGCUACACAAACAAUCGGACAAACACCACCACAACAGUAAAGUAAUAUUACUGAACAGAAUUGUGAAGAAUCGUGUAUUAAACAGAGUUAAAUUAAACAGAAUGGACUAAAUGUAUAAUGUCCCAUAUUUUCUGACUGUUUCUGAGAAGUAGCGAAUCGAUGUUCGUUCCGUUAAUAAAUCAUUCUUUUGAGUCGGUUCAGGCAAACGGGUCAUAGAUUUGCGAUCAAUUCUCAGUAGUUUUAACAGAUCAUUUCACUCCCGCAGUGAAUCGUUCGGAGCGAUUUCUCUCCUUCAAACAGUACAGGAUACAUGAGCACACAGUAAACAAAAAGAGCGCGGGAAGAAGUGGGUGUUUUUUGUACAAUCCAUUGAAAUCGACCCUGCAAAUGCACCCUGUCAGUGUUGAAGAAGUUACCACACCUGCACAUGCACCUCUUGAACGACUCAGUACUCCAGCUCCGGUCAAUGAAAACAGCACGGUGUCAAAAGGCACUUAUAUAGAGGGGGAAAAAAGAGAUUCCUGACUGUUCCAGGCCUGUUGGUGAUGCCUGAUCUUCUACAAGAUGAUCUGAGGGACUGUUCAAGGCAGGGUUGGGCUGGAAGCAACACUAUGUAACUUUUU